rnacentral:rRNA from 1 species
AUUGAACGCUGGCGGCAUGCCUUACACAUGCAAGUCGAACGGUAACAGGUCUUCGGAUGCUGACGAGUGGCGAACGGGUGAGUAAUACAUCGGAACGUGCCUAGUAGUGGGGGAUAACUACUCGAAAGAGUGGCUAAUACCGCAUGAGAUCUACGGAUGAAAGCAGGGGAUCGCAAGACCUUGUGCUACUAGAGCGGCCGAUGGCAGAUUAGGUAGUUGGUGGGAUAAAAGCUUACCAAGCCGACGAUCUGUAGCUGGUCUGAGAGGACGUUCAGCCACACUGGGACUGAGACCCGGCCAAGACUCCUACGGGAGGCAGCAGUGGGGAAUUUUGGAAAAUGGGCGAAAGCCUGAUCCAGCAAUGCCGCGUGCAGGAUGAAGGCCUUCGGGUUGUAAACUGCUUUUGUACGGAACGAAAAGCCCCGGGUUAAUACCCUGGGGUCAUGACGGUACCGUAAGAAUAAGCACCGGCUAACUACGUGCCAGCCGCCGCGGUAA